GCUAACAGUUAAGAACUCAGGAUGAAAACUUGUACGCACGGCAGGCUGGGAAGAUGAAGAUGACGAUGGUGUUAAGAUACCAAUAAGCCCUGAGGUCCAGCAGGAUCUGAUGAGCAUUGAAGCUGGAGAGGCGGGAACAAGG